GAUUAACGCUAGCGGCAGGCAUAAUACAUGCAAGUUGAACGAGAUUAGUUUUAGCAAUAGAACUAGUUUAGUGGCGCACGGGUGCGUAACGCGUAUGCAACCUACCUUAAACAGGGGAAUAGCCUCUCGAAAGAGAGAUUAAUACCGCAUAAUAUAUAUUUAAUGCAUAUUAGAUAUAUUAAACCCACGGGGGGUUUUAAGAUGGGCAUGCGUGACAUUAGCUAGUUGGUGAGGUAACGGCUCACCAAGGCAACGAUGUCUAGGGGGUCUGAGAGGAUGUCCCCCCACACUGGUACUGAGACACGGACCAGACUCCUACGGGAGGCAGCAGUAGGGAAUAUUGGUCAAUGGGGGCAACCCUGACCAGCCAUGCCGCUGCAGGAUAAGGCCCUAUGGGUCGUAAACU
rnacentral:rRNA from 1 species